AUCCAGCUGACGAGUCCCAAAUAGGACGAAAUGCGCGUCCUGUAU
rnacentral:hammerhead_ribozyme from 1 species